AGUACCUGUUCUCGUUAGAUCACCGAAGUCAAGCAUCAUUGGGCGCGGUCAGUACUUGGGUGGGUGACCACCUGGGAACACCGCGUGCUGUU
rnacentral:rRNA from 1 species